rnacentral:rRNA from 1 species
AUGGUCUUGACAAAACGAAGGGGUACUCGGCAAAACCAUGUUCUUCGGAGGUCGACGGUACUUGUUCUCAUAUCAUCAUGUAGACGUACUUUCGGAGAGGAACUUGUCCCGUCCCAAAAUGAUCAAGGCAAAAAAAACCUCGUUCAACGGUGCUCGAACUUGACGAAAACCACGAAGGCGACCUUGGGUUUCCCUGGUUGUCGCGUCUUGGCAGUGACAAGAGGAGCGACGAAGCCAGCGAGGCAGCAACCGAAGAUAGCCGGGUCGGGCGUCGGGGUUGAAGACCGGAGGUGGUUGCGGCCAGAGCAGUGGCGACCUUGGAGGCGGAGGAGGUCCGGCGAUAGUAGCAAGCCGAUGGUGGGGAGGGCAGCAAGGCGGCGCCGCGUGGUGGAGGGCUCAAGUCCCUGGCCAAAAGAUAGGCAGGGAAAAUGA